ACUUGGAUAUGGAUUCUUCACGGUAACGUAACUGAAUGUGGAGACGUCGGCGUGGGCCCUGGGAGGAGUUNUNUNUUCUUCUUAACAGCUUAUCACCCUGGAAUUGGUUUAUCCGGAGAUAGGGUNUUAUGGCUGGAAGAGCGCAGUACUUUUGCUGCGUCUNGGGCGCCUACGACGGUCCUUGAAAAUCCACAGGAAGGAAUAGUUUUCAUGCUAGGUCGUACU
rnacentral:rRNA from 1 species